rnacentral:snoRNA from 1 species
GCUGGUGUAAAUGAUGACCUCACUUUUUUCCCCAUCAGAUCGACAAUGCUGAUCUCUUAGAACAAUUGCCAGUUAGUCCUGAUACACCAGC